GACGAACGCUGGCGGCGUGCUUAACACAUGCAAGUCGAACGGAAAGGCCCUGCUUUUGUGGGGUGCUCGAGUGGCGAACGGGUGAGUAACACGUGAGUAACCUGCCCUUGACUUUGGGAUAACUUCAGGAAACUGGGGCUAAUACCGGAUAGGAGCUCCUGCUGCAUGGUGGGGGUUGGAAAGUUUCGGCGGUUGGGGAUGGACUCGCGGCUUAUCAGCUUGUUGGUGGGGUAGUGGCUUACCAAGGCUUUGACGGGUAGCCGGCCUGAGAGGGUGACCGGCCACAUUGGGACUGAGAUACGGCCCAGACUCCUACGGGAGGCAGCAGUGGGGAAUAUUGCACAAUGGGCGGAAGCCUGAUGCAGCAACGUCGCGUGCGGGAUGACGGCCUUCGGGUUGUAAACCGCUUUCGCCUGUGACGAAGCGUGAGUGACGGUAAUGGGUAAAGAAGCACCGGCUAACUACGUGCCAGCAGCCGCGGUGAUACGUAGGGUGCGAGCGUUGUCCGGAUUUAUUGGGCGUAAAGGGCUCGUAGGUGGUUGAUCGCGUCGGAAGUGUAAUCUUGGGGCUUAACCCUGAGCGCGCUUUCGAUACGGGUUGACUUGAGGAAGGUAGGGGAGAAUGGAAUUCCUGGUGGAGCGGUGGAAUGCGCAGAUAUCAGGAGGAACACCAGUGGCGAAGGCGGUUCUCUGGGCCUUUCCUGACGCUGAGGAGCGAAAGCGUGGGGAGCGAACAGGCUUAGAUACCCUGGUAGUCCACGCUGUAAACGGUGGGUACUAGGUGUGGGGUCCAUUCCACGGGUUCCGUGCCGUAGCUAACGCUUUAAGUACCCCGCCUGGGGAGUACGGCCGCAAGGCUAAAACUCAAAGGAAUUGACGGGGCCCCGCACAAGCGGCGGAGCAUGCGGAUUAAUUCGAUGCAACGCGUAGAACCUUACCUGGGUUUGACAUGGAUCGGGAGUGCUCAGAGAUGGGUGUGCCUCUUUUGGGGUCGGUUCACAGGUGGUGCAUGGCUGUCGUCAGCUCGUGUCGUGAGAUGCUGGGUUAAGUCCCGCAACGAGCGCAACCCUUGUUCACUGUUGCCAGCACGUUAUGGUGGGGACUCAGUGGAGACCGCCGGGGUCAACUCGGAGGAAGGUGGGGAUGACGUCAAGUCAUCAUGCCCCUUAUGUCCAGGGCUUCACGCAUGCUACAAUGGCUGGUACAGAGAGUGGCGAGCCUGUGAGGGUGAGCGAAUCUCGGAAAGCCGGUCUCAGUUCGGAUUGGGGUCUGCAACUCGACCUCAUGAAGUCGGAGUCGCUAGUAAUCGCAGAUCAGCAACGCUGCGGUGAAUACGUUCCCGGG
rnacentral:rRNA from 1 species